AUUUGUGAGCAACUGUAGAGCUGAGCUGGAGAGUGAGAGACCAGAGUGAGGCUGAGAGAAGAAGAGCAAGCAAAAGCAAAAGCAAUAGAAAAAUGUCAAGCAACACGAAAGCAGGAGGAGAUGGACAGGUAGUGUGCGUUACAGGAGGCAGCGGCUUCAUCGGCUCCUGGCUCGUCCGCCUCCUCCUCGACCGCGGCUACACCGUUCACGCCACCGUCAAGGAUCUCAAGGAUGAGAAAGAAACGAAGCAUCUAGAAGCCCUAGAAGGAGCAGAAUCGCGUCUCCGCCUCUUUCAGAUCGAUCUCCUCGAUUACGACUCCAUCGUCGCCGCCGUCACUGGCUCCUCCGGCGUCUUCCAUCUCGCUUCCCCUUGCAUCAUCGAUCAAGUUAAAGAUCCCGAGAGGGAGCUAUUGGAACCGGCAAUUAAGGGGACACUCAACGUGCUCACGGCGGCCAAGGAAUUGGGGGUUCGGCGGGUGGUGGUGACCUCGUCUAUAUCGGCUAUCACCCCGAGCCCUAACUGGCCGGCCGACAAGGUCAAGAACGAGGAUUGCUGGACUGAUGUUGAAUAUUGCAAGCAGAAUGGAUUAUGGUAUCCACUUUCUAAAACACUAGCUGAGAAAGCAGCUUGGGAAUUUGCUAAGGAAAAAGGUUUGGAUGUGGUUGUGGUGAAUCCUGGAACUGUUAUGGGUCCUAUUAUCCCCCCAGCUCUUAAUGCAAGCAUGUUAGUGCUUCUUCGCUUUCUUCAAGGCUGCACUGAAAUAUAUGAGAACUUCUUUAUGGGACCUGUCCAUGUUAAAGAUGUGGCCCUAGCACACAUAUUGGUCUAUGAAAAUACAUCAGCUACUGGAAGGCACUUGUGUGUUGAAGCUAUAUCACAUUAUGGUGAUUUCACAGCCAUGGUCGCAGAACUUUAUCCUGAAUAUAAUGUUCCCAGGCUGCCAAAGGAUACUCAACCAGGAUUGCUGAGGACCAAGGAUGGAUCUAAGAAGCUGAUGGACUUGGGUUUGCAAUUCAUUCCUAUGGAGCAAAUUAUCAAGGAAACGGUUGAGAGUUUAAAGAGCAAAGGAUAUAUUUCUUGAGCAAAACAGUGACGACCCCUACCUCCGUGGACGCUCGAGGACAAGCAACGACUUAACUCACUGUGGGCAAGCUGAACAUCAAAGUUAAAGAAAGCCUCGAGUCUACCCCGUUUCGCCUUUUGAGGAGCUUCCAAGAGAAGUAAACUAGGCUCAGGUGGAGCCAUGUUAGUUAAACCCCUUUUUGCUUCGUACAAUGGUUUUGUAUUUGUGUAUAAGUUGGGGUUAUGUUUAUAUAUGACAUAGAUGUUUGAACUUUGUGAUGAAUGUACAUAAAGAAUGAAUGUUUGCUUAUGAUAUGAAGGUUUUUUUAUAUA